rnacentral:ribozyme from 1 species
UGCCCAGCAACUCCUAUCCCUACCUCCGUGUGGUAUCGGCUGAACGGCUGAAAACUCCAAGCAACUUUAGGGAAGA